rnacentral:misc_RNA from 1 species
UCCGGUUUGGCACCGGCAGUCUCCCAUGAGUCCCCGACAUUACUCGCUGGCAACAUGGAACAGGGGUCGCGCUCGUUGCGCCACUUAAGGCAACAUCUCACGGCACGAGCUGACGACAGCCAUGCAGCACCUCGACUCCACCCCCUUGCGGGGUAGCGCUAUUUCUAACGCCGUUGAGAAGCCGUUCGAGCCCAGGUAAGGUUCUUCGCGUUGCGUCGAAUUGAACCACAUGCUCCACCGCUUGUGCGGGCCCCCGUCAAUUCCUUUGAGUUUCAGUCUUGCGACCGUACUCCCCAGGCGGAGUGCUUAAUGUGUUGACUUCGGCACAGCAGGGGUCGAUACCCGCUACACCAAGCACUCAUCGUUUACGGCGUGGACUAC